AUCGAACGCUGGCGGCAGGCUUAACACAUGCAAGUCGAACGAGUGGCGGACGGGUGAGUCAUGUUUGGGAAUCUGGCUUAUGGAGGGGGAUAACGACGGGAAACUGUCGCUAAUACCGCUAACCAUAGGAUGAGCCCAGGUGGGCUUAGUUAGUUGGUGGGGGAAUGGCAUACCAAGCCGACGAUCACUAGCCGGUCGGAGAGGAUAACCAGCCACAUCGGAACGGAGACACGGCCCGAACUCCUACGGGGGGCAGAGGUGGGAAAUAUUGCGCAAGGGGGGCAACCGGACGCAGAAAUGCCGGGGGAAUGAGGAGGGCCUUGGGGUGGUAAGGUUCUUUGGGAGAGGAGGCGUUAAUCACAGAAGAAGGACCGGCUAACUCCGUGCCAGCAGCCGCGGUAAUAC
rnacentral:rRNA from 1 species